CCUGGUCUGAGUAUAUGGCAAUAAUUGUUAUAUAUUUUACUUAUUACGUAUAUAGAGAUGUGAACAUCUGAAGUUCAAAGCUGUGAUUUAUGUUUCCAGCACGGCUGGAUCUGAAAAACAGAGAAUGCAGCACAUGGUGUCAAACCCUGGCUCCUCAAGUCCAACCUCAGAGCUCUGUGUUGAUGAAGUUGUGGCCAAUCCAUCAAGAUUAAAGGGGUCAAGGUCAGAUUUACACCCACUGGGUGCAAUCAAUACUCAGCUAAGACCAUCGAUUUCAUGGCUGCUCAGCAGAGUGGGGUCUCAGUGGUGUUGGAGUGGGCAGGUUCUCUCUUGCACUCACUGCUCCAAGUGACUCAGGGACCUGGAUCUUUAUGGCAAAGCUGCUUUUCUUCAGCUCUUUAGGAAUUGCAUCCCAGGUGUCCCUGCCAUGGCAGGGGGUUGGAGCUAGGUGGUCUUCAAGGUCCCUUCCAACCGAAACCAUUUAGUGAUUCUGUGAGGAAAUAUAAAGCAGCCUCCAACAAGAUGAACCCACAGGCUCUGUGGCCUCCACCCAGCUUCUCCCCUGCCUGCCCUGCAAUGAUGACAGCAGCAAAAUCUCCAUGAGGUUUUGUGGGCACCUGGUCCUCUUCCACUGCUCACAGCAGAAAGCCCAACCCAGAUACUUUCUUCAAGGUUUGGCUGAGCCAGUUCGACUCAUGACAUUGGAAAAAAUCCUAUUCCUGUGGAUUUUCCUGGCAAAGUUAAUUUUCUCCCUGAAGCCACUCACAGUGGAGUCCAGCAGCCACAAGGGAAGAGGGAGGAGAGCGGAGCUGGGAGUGAGGGAGAGGAGAGCAGGAGGGAUGGGAGGAGAAGCAGGACCUUUGUCUCCUCCCUGGGUCCCAGGUCAGAGAUGCAGCUUCUCCGAUGCCACCAGGCUGUUUGGCUCCUUCAAACCAUCUCUGCAGGAGGGAAUCUUCAGGGGCAUCCUCACCACUGCUCUGCUCCCAUUCCUCUCCUUGGCCCUUGGUCUCUGGUGCAGAGGGGACAUUCCCUCCCACCUGGACUCCACAUUGACCUUUGUGUCCAAAAACAAAUGUCUGAGGAACACCUGGGAUUUGUGUUCAGGAAGACUCUUGUUAUCUCACAUACUCCAGGAAUUAUUUUACCAGAGCACUGCAAUUUCUCAGCUAGACACCUCCAGUGACUGUGCAGGGGUGCAAAACCCAGAGAAGCAACAAUGAGCUCAAGUGUCUGAGUGUCCCUUUGGCCACUGCCACUAAACAGAAUCUGAACUAUUUCUUUACUCUUUAGAAACUCGAGAUAAACAAGGUAUUUGUCCAAAAGGCCGGGCUCUGGAGCACGUGCCAGGACAUCACUAGGCAAUGUCCAAGUGCUCUGUUUACCAGCCCACCACCUGCCAGGGCAGUGCUGAUUGUGCAGCCGGUCAGGGAAUGACAGAGGGAAGCACUUUGGGAGGCUGCUCAAACCCAGGGCAGCCAGACAGCGCCUUCCCAACCAUCUGCUCUGGAACUGAGUCUGGUGCAGCACAGAACUGCAGCUGCCCCUGUGGUGGUUCGGGAUAAACCAGGAUUUCCAGCCUGUUUUGCUCCAUGCCAGCUUUCAGAAGUCAGUUUUUGCUUUCACAUCAUAUCCUGAGAGCUGUCUGUACCCACCUUGCUUUUCCCCUCAGAGCCCCAUGGAAAGGCUGGGUCACAUUUUGGGACACUCCUGGGACAUGUCACCAGGGCAGUGCUGGAUCACCAGGUUGUCUCGCUGCCUCAGAAGAAGUUUCUGGGUGGGCUGGUCCUGAGGCUGCGUGGUGCAGGUC
ensembl:lncRNA